UGCUGGAGGUAUCAGAAGUGCGAAUGCUGACAUAAGUAACGAUAAAGCGGGUGAAAAGCCCGCUCGCCGGAAGACCAAGGGUUCCUGUCCAACGUUAAUCGGGGCAGGGUGAGUCGACCCCUAAGGCGAGGCCGAAAGGCGUAGUCGAUGGGAAACGGGUUAAUAUUCCCGUACUUGGUGUUACUGCGAAGGGGGGACGGAGAAGGCUAUGUUGGCCGGGCGACGGUUGUCCCGGUUUAAGCGUGUAGGUGUGUGUUCCAGGUAAAUCCGGUUCACUUUAACACUGAGGCGUGAUGACGAGGCACUACGGUGCUGAAGCAACAAAUGCCCUGCUUCCAGGAAAAGCCUCUAAGCAUCAGGUAACAUCAAAUCGUACCCCAAACCGACACAGGUGGUCAGGUAGAGAAUACCAAGGCGCUUGAGAGAACUCGGGUGAAGGAACUAGGCAAAAUGGUGCCGUAACUUCGGGAGAAGGCACGCUGACACGUAGGUGAAGUGAUUUACUCACGGAGCUGAAGUCAGUCGAAGAUACCAGCUGGCUGCAACUGUUUAUUAAAAACACAGCACUGUGCAAACACGAAAGUGGACGUAUACGGUGUGACGCCUGCCCGGUGCCGGAAGGUUAAUUGAUGGGGUCAGCGCAAGCGAAGCUCCUGAUCGAAGCCCCGGUAAACGGCGGCCGUAACUAUAACGGUCCUAAGGUAGCGAAAUUCCUUGUCGGGUAAGUUCCGACCUGCACGAAUGGCGUAAUGAUGGCCAGGCUGUCUCCACCCGAGACUCAGUGAAAUUGAACUCGCUGUGAAGAUGCAGUGUACCCGCGGCAAGACGGAAAGACCCCGUGAACCUUUACUAUAGCUUGACACUGAACAUUGAGCCUUGAUGUGUAGGAUAGGUGGGAGGCUUUGAAGUGUGGACGCCAGUCUGCAUGGAGCCGACCUUGAAAUACCACCCUUUAAUGUUUGAUGUUCUAACGUGGACCCGUAAUCCGGGUUGCGGACAGUGUCUGGUGGGUAGUUUGACUGGGGCGGUCUCCUCCUAAAGAGUAACGGAGGAGCACGAAGGUUGGCUAAUCCUGGUCGGACAUCAGGAGGUUAGUGCAAUGGCAUAAGCCAGCUUGACUGCGAGCGUGACGGCGCGAGCAGGUGCGAAAGCAGGUCAUAGUGAUCCGGUGGUUCUGAAUGGAAGGGCCAUCGCUCAACGGAUAAAAGGUACUCCGGGGAUAACAGGCUGAUACCGCCCAAGAGUUCAUAUCGACGGCGGUGUUUGGCACCUCGAUGUCGGCUCAUCACAUCCUGGGGCUGAAGUAGGUCCCAAGGGUAUGGCUGUUCGCCAUUUAAAGUGGUACGCGAGCUGGGUUUAGAACGUCGUGAGACAGUUCGGUCCCUAUCUGCCGUGGGCGCUGGAGAACUGAGGGGGGCUGCUCCUAGUACGAGAGGACCGGAGUGGACGCAUCACUGGUGUUCGGGUUGUCAUGCCAAUGGCACUGCCCGGUAGCUAAAUGCGGAAGAGAUAAGUGCUGAAAGCAUCUAAGCACGAAACUUGCCCCGAGAUGAGUUCUCCCUGAGACUUUAAGUCUCCUGAAGGAACGUUGAAGACGACGACGUUGAUAGGCCGGGUGUGUAAGCGCAGCGAUGCGUUGAGCUAACCGGUACUAAUGAACCGUGAGGCUUAACCUUACAACGCCGAAG
rnacentral:rRNA from 1 species